GUGACUGCGUACCUUUUGUAUAAUGGGUCAGCGACUUAUAUUCUGUAGCAAGGUUAACCGAAUAGGGGAGCCGGAGGGAAACCGAGUCUUAACCGGGCGUUAAGUUGCAGGGUAUAGACCCGAAACCCGGUGAUCUAGCCAUGGGCAGGUUGAAGGUUGGGUAACACUAACUGGAGGACCGAACCGACUAAUGUUGAAAAAUUAGCGGAUGACCUGUGGCUGGGGGUGAAAGGCCAAUCAAACCGGGAGAUAGCUGGUUCUCCCCGAAAGCUAUUUAGGUAGCGCCUCGUGAAUUCAUCUCCGGGGGUAGAGCACUGUUUCGGCUAGGGGGCCAUCCCGGCUUACCAACCCGAUGCAAACUGCGAAUACCGGAGAAUGUUAUCACGGGAGACACACGGCGGGUGCUAACGUCCGUCGUGAAGAGGGAAACAACCCAGACCGCCAGCUAAGGUCCCAAAGUCAUGGUUAAGUGGGAAACGAUGUGGGAAGGCCCAGACAGCCAGGAUGUUGGCUUAGAAGCAGCCAUCAUUUAAAGAAAGCGUAAUAGCUCACUGGUCGAGUCGGCCUGCGCGGAAGAUGUAACGGGGCUAAACCAUGCACCGAAGCUGCGGCAGCGACACUGUGUGUUGUUGGGUAGGGGAGCGUUCUGUAAGCCUGCGAAGGUGGCCUGUGAGGGUUGCUGGAGGUAUCAGAAGUGCGAAUGCUGACAUAAGUAACGAUAAAGCGGGUGAAAAGCCCGCUCGCCGGAAGACCAAGGGUUCCUGUCCAACGUUAAUCGGGGCAGGGUGAGUCGACCCCUAAGGCGAGGCCGAAAGGCGUAGUCGAUGGGAAACGGGUUAAUAUUCCCGUACUUGGUGUUACUGCGAAGGGGGGACGGAGAAGGCUAUGUUGGCCGGGCGACGGUUGUCCCGGUUUAAGCGUGUAGGUGUGUGUUCCAGGUAAAUCCGGUUCACUUUAACACUGAGGCGUGACGACGAGGCACUACGGUGCUGAAGCAACAAAUGCCCUGCUUCCAGGAAAAGCCUCUAAGCAUCAGGUAACAUCAAAUCGUACCCCAAACCGACACAGGUGGUCAGGUAGAGAAUACCAAGGCGCUUGAGAGAACUCGGGUGAAGGAACUAGGCAAAAUGGUGCCGUAACUUCGGGAGAAGGCACGCUGACACGUAGGUGAAGUGAUUUACUCAUGGAGCUGAAGUCAGUCGAAGAUACCAGCUGGCUGCAACUGUUUAUUAAAAACACAGCACUGUGCAAACACGAAAGUGGACGUAUACGGUGUGACGCCUGCCCGGUGCCGGAAGGUUAAUUGAUGGGGUCAGCGCAAGCGAAGCUCCUGAUCGAAGCCCCGGUAAACGGCGGCCGUAACUAUAACGGUCCUAAGGUAGCGAAAUUCCUUGUCGGGUAAGUUCCGACCUGCACGAAUGGCGUAAUGAUGGCCAGGCUGUCUCCACCCGAGACUCAGUGAAAUUGAACUCGCUGUGAAGAUGCAGUGUACCCGCGGCAAGACGGAAAGACCCCGUGAACCUUUACUAUAGCUUGACACUGAACAUUGAGCCUUGAUGUGUAGGAUAGGUGGGAGGCUUUGAAGUGUGGACGCCAGUCUGCAUGGAGCCGACCUUGAAAUACCACCCUUUAAUGUUUGAUGUUCUAACGUGGACCCGUUACCCGGGUUGCGGACAGUGUCUGGUGGGUAGUUUGACUGGGGCGGUCUCCUCCUAAAGAGUAACGGAGGAGCACGAAGGUUGGCUAAUCCUGGUCGGACAUCAGGAGGUUAGUGCAAUGGCAUAAGCCAGCUUGACUGCGAGCGUGACGGCGCGAGCAGGUGCGAAAGCAGGUCAUAGUGAUCCGGUGGUUCUGAAUGGAAGGGCCAUCGCUCAACGGAUAAAAGGUACUCCGGGGAUAACAGGCUGAUACCGCCCAAGAGUUCAUAUCGACGGCGGUGUUUGGCACCUCGAUGUCGGCUCAUCACAUCCUGGGGCUGAAGUAGGUCCCAAGGGUAUGGCUGUUCGCCAUUUAAAGUGGUACGCGAGCUGGGUUUAGAACGUCGUGAGACAGUUCGGUCCCUAUCUGCCGUGGGCGCUGGAGAACUGAGGGGGGCUGCUCCUAGUACGAGAGGACCGGAGUGGACGCAUCACUGGUGUUCGGGUUGUCAUGCCAAUGGCACUGCCCGGUAGCUAAAUGCGGAAGAGAUAAGUGCUGAAAGCAUCUAAGCACGAAACUUGCCCCGAGAUGAGUUCUCCCUGAGACUU
rnacentral:rRNA from 1 species